AGGAGAAACCAGGAGCUCAUGAAGUGUCUGAGACAUUGGGUUAAAGCACACACAUUUAAAGAGACGAGGAAAAGAAAAGAGACGCAGCGUUCUCGUUCUCCUUCUCAGGAUUACGAAAGAGGCGACUGGGUUGGCACCCUAGGGAGGUUCCCACAUGCACUGCAGUGCCUGAGGCAGGCCAGUCUCACAGGAGCCUCUUAGGGAUCAACGAAAUGUGGUCUGCCUGUACUGUGGCAGAUUACUAGGACAUAAAAGGAAUGAAGUACUGAUCCAUGCUACAAUGUGGAUGAACCUUGGUAACACUGUGCUGAGCGAAAGCAGCCAAUCACAAAAGGCCACAUAUCGUAUGAUCCAAUUAUACAAAAUGUCCAGAACAGGGAAACCCAGGAAAGAAAGCAGAGAGAUGAGGAAACAAGGCAUGAAGAGAUCCAAUGACUUCCUCCUGAUCACACAGCUGGUAAGUGGUAGAGCUAGU
rnacentral:lncRNA from 10 species